AGAGGUGUCUCCCUCCACUUCUCAUGGUUCGGGUUGAAGCAACUGGGUUAAGAGAAGCCUCAUGUUGAUUAUCAAGUCGAGGGGUAAUCUGUUUCCCUAUCAGGGAUAUCUAUGUCGAAUGCAUGUGACCCCUCCAUGUUGGAGGGCACCCAGUUGAUGGUUGACUUCCACGGGGGCAACAAGCUCGCGUGUCUGAGCUUGCCUAGCUUCGUGGAGUGUCUCGAAGAGUUUCUCAUAUUGCUCCUAGAGGACCUCAUUCCUCAUUGCUAUCUUGUUGUUCUGAGCUUCCAACUCAUCGACUUUAGCUUGAAGAAGAACUCGUUUUCCUUCCUUCUUUCGUUGCUUCGCACUAUGUGCAAGGGGGGUGUCAUUCUGUGUGCUGUG
rnacentral:lncRNA from 1 species